rnacentral:lncRNA from 1 species
ACAGAACAGAUGCCCUGGUAGUGCCCUAUUCCUCUGCUUUUUUGUAUGAUCAGCCGCUACAGGGGUGAUAGUUUGAUAACAAAAGAGCUGGAGCCUGGAUGCAAUGGGCCAGCUGAGCAUACACUACUGUUCCUGGGGAGCUCUUCAAGGAAAAAAUGCUGACAGAGCCAAUUCCUGCACUAUUUGCUUCUCCGAGGGAUCCUUAAGCUGGUCGUUCUCAUUAAACAGCAAAGGACAAUUUUGCCUGAAGGAAACUUCCUCAGCAAUGAGCUUCUGCUCUGUCUGCUCACAAACUGGAGAGCAGCRAUGGGAUCUCCUGAAGCCGACAGCACUGACCGAGUAG